GGGGGGGGGGGGGGGGGGGCUGGGCACGGGCAGGGCGAGCGGAGAGGCCCGGGUUUUGUGGGGUGCUCGAGUGGCGAACGGGUGGGUAACACGUGAGUAACCUGCCCUGGACUGUGGGAUAACUUCAGGAAACUGGGGCUAAUACCGGAUAGGAGCUCCUGCUGCAUGGUGGGCGUUGGAAAGUUUCGGCUGUUGGGGAUGGACUCGCGGCUUAUCAGCUUGUUGGUGGGGUAGUGGCUUACCAAGGCUUUGACGGGUAGCCGGCCUGAGAGGGUGACCGGCCACAUUGGGACUGAGAUACGGCCCAGACUCCUACGGGAGGCAGCAGUGGGGAAUAUUGCACAAUGGGCGGAAGCCUGAUGCAGCAACGCCGCGUGCGGGAUGACGGCCUUCGGGUUGUAAACCGCUUUCGCCUGUGACGAAGCGUGAGUGACGGUAAUGGGUAAAGAAGCACCGGCUAACUACGUG
rnacentral:rRNA from 1 species